CUAUAGAGAAGAAGUUUUAGGAAUAAAGUUAAGGUGUAUACUCAGAUACCAAAUUAGCUGAAUUAUCCUUGUUACUAUGACAACAAGCGUUCAGCAAGGUGCAGCUGAGGACAUCUUGAAAAUCCAAAAACUUAGUGUGGAUCUGUGUUAAAACUAAUAAAAUAUUGGUACAAUGUGCAAUACAGAACAGCAGCUAGCAGAGACAGACA